GGGUGACUGAAAGAGGAACAAGGUCGGUGGCGGUAAUGCACCUAAUUUAUACAAAUUACCAAUCGAAAUAUAAAGUCAAGAGAAGAAAAAGCCUAGAAGGAGGAGAGAUGACUAGAAACGAUUCGGUUGACCAUUUUAUGUGUGGAUUAAUUGUCUGAGUAGAGGACCUUGUGCUUUUCAGAGGACCUGAGCCCUAGGACCAUGCCUCAGGACUGCCUGACAUGAUGACUCCUUGCUGUCCCCAGUCCACCUGGCCAUGCUGCUGCUCCAGUUUUAACUGUUCUGCCUGCGGCAAUGGAACCCUGACCGGUUCACCGGACGUGCUACCUGUCCCAGACCUGCUGUUUUCAACUCUCUAGAGACAGCAGGAGUGGUAGAGAUACUCCCAAUGAUCGGCUAUGAAAAGCCAACUGACAUUUACUCUUGAGGUGCUGACUUGUUGCACCCUCGACAACUACUGUGAUUAUUAUUAUUUGACCAUGCUGGUCAUUUAUGAACAUUUGAACAUCUUGGCCAUGUUCUGUUAUAAUCUCCACCCGGCACAGCCAGAAGAGGACUGCCCCCCCCCCCUCAUAGCCUGGUUCCUCUCUAGGUUUCUUCCUAGGUUUUGGCCUUUCUACGGAGUUUUUCCUAGCCACCGUGCUUCUACACCUGCAUUGCUGGCUGUUCGGGGAUUUAGGCUGGGUUUCUGUACAGCACUUUGAGAUAUCAGCUGAUUUUCUUGGGCUGACCUUCAAUUGGACGCAGCAGUUCCUCGGUGUUUUUCCAUGGGUUUUGUGGGUAGCUGUCUCCGUGUAUUGUCAGUGAACCUUACAGGACUGUUUUUCGUCGUUUGUUUAGUAUAAGUGUUUUUGUUUUUGUUUUCUUCAAUAAAAGAAGAUGAGCAUACAUAUACCCGCUGCGUUUUGGUCCGCUCACUACGAUGAUUAUGACAGAACUACCCACCAAGAAAGGACCAAGCAGCGGAGGAAGGAGCAACAGGAGAGUUAUCUCGAGUCCUGGACAUGGGAGGAGAUACUAGCUGGAGAAGGACCAUGGAGGAAGGCUGGAGAGGACCGGGAACGUUAUGCCGGAACACGGCUGGCAAGGAAGCCUGAGAAGCAGCC
rnacentral:lncRNA from 1 species